rnacentral:rRNA from 1 species
UACGGAAGGCAGCAGUGGGGAAUAUUGCACAAUGGGCGAAAGCCUGAUGCAGCUAUGCCGCGUGUAUGAAGAAGGCCUUAGGGUUGUAAAGUACUUUCAUCGGGGAGGAAAAACAAAACUAAUAAUUUUAUUUCUUGACGUUACCCGAAAAAGAAGCACCGGCUAACUCCGUGCCAGCAGCCGCGGUAAUACGGAGGGUGCUAGCGUUAAUCAGAAUUACUGGGCGUAAAGAGCACGUAGGUGGUUUUUUUAAGUCAGAUGUGAAAUCCCUGGGCUUAACCUGGAACUGCAUUUUGAAACUGAAAUACUAGAGUAUCGUAGAGGGAGGUAGAAUUCUAGGUGUAGCGGUGAAAUGCGUAGAUAUCUGGAGGAAUACCUGUGGCGAAAGCGGCCUCCUAAACGAAUACUGACACUGAGGUGCGAAAGCGUGGGGAGCAAACAGGGAUUAGAACC